rnacentral:rRNA from 1 species
AUCUGCCUUUGAGCGGGGGACAACAUUUGGAAACGAAUGCUAAUACCGCAUAACAACUUUAAACACAAGUUUUAAGUUUGAAAGAUGCAAUUGCAUCACUCAAAGAUGAUCCCGCGUUGUAUUAGCUAGUUGGUGAGGUAAAGGCUCACCAAGGCGAUGAUACAUAGCCGACCUGAGAGGGUGAUCGGCCACAUUGGGACUGAGACACGGCCCAAACUCCUACGGGAGGCAGCAGUAGGGAAUCUUCGGCAAUGGACGAAAGUCUGACCGAGCAACGCCGCGUGAGCGAAGAAGGUUUUCGGAUCGUAAAACUCUGUUGGUAGAGAAGAACGUUGGUGAGAGUGGAAAGCUCAUCAAGUGACGGUAACUACCCAGAAAGGGACGGCUAACUACGUGCCAGCAGCCGCGGUAAUACGUAGGUCCCGAGCGUUGUCCGGAUUUAUUGGGCGUAAAGCGAGCGCAGGUGGUUUAUUAAGUCUGGUGUAAAAGGCAGUGGCUCAACCAUUGUAUGCAUUGGAAACUGGUAGACUUGAGUGCAGGAGAGGAGAGUGGAAUUCCAUGUGUAGCGGUGAAAUGCGUAGAUAUAUGGAGGAACACCGGUGGCGAAAGCGGCUCUCUGGCCUGUAACUGACACUGAGGCUCGAAAGCGUGGGGAGCAAACAGGAUUAGAUACCCUGGUAGUCCACGCCGUAAACGAUGAGUGCUAGAUGUAGGGAGCUAUAAGUUCUCUGUAUC